GAGUUUGAUCAUGGCUCAGGAUGAACGCUGGCGGCGUGCUUAACACAUGCAAGUCGAACGAAGCACCUUAUUCUGAUUUCUUCGGAAUGAAAAAUUUGGUGACUGAGUGGCGGACGGGUGAGUAACGCGUGGGUAACCUGCCUCAUACAGGGGGAUAACAGUUAGAAAUGACUGCUAAUACCGCAUAAGACCACAGCACCGCAUGGUGCAGGGGUAAAAACUCCGGUGGUAUGAGAUGGACCCGCGUCUGAUUAGGUAGUUGGUGGGGUAACGGCCUACCAAGCCGACGAUCAGUAGCCGACCUGAGAGGGUGACCGGCCACAUUGGGACUGAGACACGGCCCAAACUCCUACGGGAGGCAGCAGUGGGGAAUAUUGCACAAUGGGGGAAACCCUGAUGCAGCGACGCCGCGUGAGCGAUGAAGUWUUUCGGUAUGUAAAGCUCUAUCAGCAGGGAAGAAAAUGACGGUACCUGACUAAGAAGCACCGGCUAAAUACGUGCCAGCAGCCGCGGUAAUACGUAUGGKGCAAGCGUUAUCCGGAUUUACUGGGUGUAAAGGGAGCGUAGACGGAGUGGCAAGUCUGAUGUGAAAACCCGGGGCUCAACCUCGGGACUGCAUUGGAAACUGUCAAUCUAGAGUACCGGAGAGGUAAGUGGAAUUCCUAGUGUAGCGGUGAAAUGCGUAGAUAUUAGGAGGAACACCAGUGGCGAAGGCGGCUUACUGGACGGUAACUGACGUUGAGGCUCGAAAGCGUGGGGAGCAAACAGGAUUAGAUACCCUGGUAGUCCACGCCGUAAACGAUGACUACUAGGUGUCGGGCAGCAAAGCUGUUCGGUGCCGCAGCAAACGCAAUAAGUAGUCCACCUGGG
rnacentral:rRNA from 1 species